CGUAGGGUGCGAGCGUUAAUCGGAAUUACUGGGCGUAAAGCGUGCGCUAGGCGGUUUUGUAAGACAGAUGUGAAAUCCCCGGGCUCAACCUGGGACCUGCAUUUGUGACUGCAAGGCUAGAGUACGGUAGAGGGGGAUGGAAUUCCGCGUGUAGCAGUGAAAUGCGUAGAUAUGCGGAGGAACACCGAUGGCGAAGGCAAUCCCCUGGACCUGUACUGACGCUCAUGCACGAAAGCGUGGGGAGCAAACAGGAUUAGAUACCCUGGUAGUCCACGCCCUAAACGAUGUCAACUGGUUGUUGGGUCUUUACUGACUCAGUAACGAAGCUAACGCGUGAAGUUGACCGCCUGGGGAGUACGGCCGCAAGGUUG
rnacentral:rRNA from 1 species